CCUACGGGAGGCAGCAGUGGGGAAUAUUGCACAAUGGGGGAAACCCUGAUGCAGCAACGCCGCGUGAGUGAAGAAGGAUUUCGGAAUGUAAAGCCCUCUCGGCAGAGAAGAAAAUGACAGUACCUGACUAAGAAGCCCCGGCUAACUACGUGCCAGCAGCCGCGGUAAUACGUAGGGGGCAAGCGUUAUCCGGAUUUACUGGGUGUAAAGGGAGCGUAGGCGGCAGCGCAAGUCAGAAGUGAAAGCCCGGGGCUCAACCACGGGACUGCUUUUGAAACUGUGUAGCUAGAGUGCAGGAGAGGUAAGUGGAAUUCCUGGUGUAGCGGUGAAAUGCGUAGAUAUCAGGAGGAAAACCAGUGGCGAAGGCGACUUGCUGGACUAUAACUGACGCUGAGGCGCGAAAGCGUGGGGAGCAAACAGGAUUAGAUACCCCAGUAGUC
rnacentral:rRNA from 1 species